rnacentral:rRNA from 1 species
ACGAACGCUGGUGGCGUGCUUAACACAUGCAAGUCGAACGCUGAAGCUCAGCUUUUGUUGGGUGGAUGAGUGGCGAACGGGUGAGUAACACGUGAGUAACCUGCCCCCUUCUUUGGGAUAACGCCCGGAAACGGGUGCUAAUACUGGAUAUUCACUGGUCUUCGCAUGGGGGUUGGUGGAAAGGGUUUUUCUGGUGGGGGAUGGGCUCGCGGCCUAUCAGCUUGUUGGUGGGGUGAUGGCCUACCAAGGCUUUGACGGGUAGCCGGCCUGAGAGGGUGACCGGUCACAUUGGGACUGAGAUACGGCCCAGACUCCUACGGGAGGCAGCAGUGGGGAAUAUUGCACAAUGGGCGCAAGCCUGAUGCAGCGACGCCGCGUGAGGGAUGGAGGCCUUCGGGUUGUGAACCUCUUUCGCUCAUGGUCAAGCCGCAACAAUGGUUGUGGUGAGGGUAGUGGGUAAAGAAGCGCCGGCUAACUACGUG